UACAGAGGAGGCAAGCGUUGUUCGGAAUUACUGGGCGUAAAGGGCGCGUAGGCGGCCUGUUAAGUCGAACGUGAAAUCCCCGGGCUCAACCCGGGAACUGCGUCCGAUACUGGCAGGCUUGAAUCCGGGAGAGGGAUGCGGAAUUCCAGGUGUAGCGGUGAAAUACGUAGAUAUUGGGAGGAACACCGGAGGCGAAAGCGGCUAUCUGGCACAUUUCU
rnacentral:rRNA from 1 species